rnacentral:rRNA from 1 species
GUGGGGAAUAUUGGACAAUGGGCGAAAGCCUGAUCCAGCAAUGCCGCGUGAGUGAUGAAGGCCCUAGGGUUGUAAAGCUCUUUUACCCGGGAUGAUAAUGACAGUACCGGGAGAAUAAGCUCCGGCUAACUUCGUGCCAGCAGCCGCGGUAAUACGAGGGGAGCUAGCGUUGUUCGGAAUUACUGGGCGUAAAGCGCGCGUAGGCGGUUUUUUAAGUCAGAGGUGAAAGCCCGGGGCUCAACCCCGGAAUUGCCUUUGAAACUGGAAAACUAGAAUCUUGGAGAGGUCAGUGGAAUUCCGAGUGUAGAGGUGAAAUUCGUAGAUAUUCGGAAGAACACCAGUGGCGAAGGCGACUGACUGGACAAGUAUUGACGCUGAGGUGCGAAAGCGUGGGGAGCAAACAGGAUUAGAAACCCCUGUAGUCC